rnacentral:ncRNA from 1 species
UAAUUGAAGAGUUUGAUCAUGGCUCAGAUUGAACGCUGGCGGCAGGCCUAACACAUGCAAGUCGAGCGGUAGCACGGGAGAGCUUGCUCUCUGGGUGACGAGCGGCGGACGGGUGAGUAAUGUCUGGGAAACUGCCUGAUGGAGGGGGAUAACUACUGGAAACGGUAGCUAAUACCGCAUGAC